GACGAACGCUGGCGGCGUGCUUAACACAUGCAAGUCGAACGGAAAGGCCCUGCUUUUGUGGGGUGCUCGAGUGGCGAACGGGGGAGUAACACGUGAGUAACCUGCCCUUGUCUGUGGGAUAACUUCAGGAAACUGGGGCGAAUACCGGAUAGGAGCUCCUGCUGCAUGGGGGGGGUUGGAAAGUUUCGGCGGUUGGGGAUGGACUCGCGGCUUAUGAGCUUGUUGGUGGGGUAGUGGCUUACCAAGGCUUUGACGGCUAGCCGGCCUGAGAGGGUGACCGGCCACCAUGGGACUGAGGUACGGCCCAGACGCCUACGGGAGGCAGAAGUGGGGAAUCUUGCACAAUGGGCGGACGCCUGAUGCAGCAACGCCGCGUGCGGGAUGACGGCCUUCGGGUUGUAAACCGCUUUCGCCUGUGACGAAGCGUGAGUGACGGUAAUGGGUAAAGAAGCACCGGCUAACUACGUG
rnacentral:rRNA from 1 species